CAAAGUACAUCCUUAUGGGACACACAGUUCAAGUCUUACGUGGUUUAUUUUAAAUAUGUUUACAAACUCAGCUUUAAUCUCUAAUCACUCGUUUGAAUCAGAUUUUAAAAGUAAUAUUUGAAAGUAGGGUUCAUCAUUUCUGUUGUAGUCCUGCCAAGGAAGAGCUUGCACCUUUCUCCAAAAUUCAGCAUCCCUGCACAGCAACAGUGGACUGCUGUGAAUCAUCUUAACGCCACAGGUUCUCUGCCGUGGCCAUCUGUUGCCCGGGUUACUGCUGUCACCAAGGUGCAGGGAAGGAAAUGACAUCAUGACACCAGUGCGGCUGCCAUCCUGUUGACAAGGCCCACUGGCCAGACCAGCUUUCAGAAUCUGAUAUAGGAUUCCGAGCAGAGGCACAGUGAGAGAAUAUUUCCCCAGAGUGGCGGCUUCUCUAUACCACCAGUCAUUUCCCAGAAUAG